GUUUCUAACAAAAUACUGUGACCUUUUUAAACAAAAUCAAUUUGUUCACAUUUAUUUUUGUGGUGGCCAUAUUAUCCUCCCUAUUUUACUUCGGCCCAUUAUGCAGUAUCGUUACAUUUUUAUAAAUAAUGUAUAAUAUAAUAAAUAUUUUAUAACUUUGAAUUAAAAAUCUAAUGAGCAACACCUUGAUGAAUAUAAUUGUAAAAUUUCUGCUCAAAACAUUGAUUAUUAACAAAGUUAUUAAAUAAAAUAUAAAUGGGUGGCCAUAAUUACCAUCUUCUCUUUUAUAUAUAUUUACCCUCGGGGUACAUAUAGAUUAGCGUGACCUACACCUUCACUUUGAUCAAAAAUAUCUUUUAAGUAUUUUUGAAAUUGGCGGGUUUGAGGUCCUCUAGAUAGUUUGAAGUCCUGUAAAAUUGAACGCAGAGUUGUUAGAUGUAACAGUGCUCAUAUGGUACUUUGUUAUGGUUAACGUAUGGUUAUGCACGUCUAUACGAGCACCAGCUUCUGUUUCACGGUUGUUUCAGUAUCCUGACGGGAAAAAUAUUAUAACAGAUAAGGAGUCGGAUUGUGAAUAAAUGAAUCGUUUGCUGAAUGUGAACUAAUUAUUAUGUCAUUGGCUUAAAAUGCUUGGACUUAGGAUAUUGAGCCUUGGAGUUUCUUUUCUUGCUCUUAGAAUUGGAGACGACAACUGAUGAUUUCCUUGUGUUUAUUCUACUAAUAUUUCUCACCUCUCUGCAAGCACUCAGCGCAGAGUGGGAGUGAAACCAAGCAAUUCUGGAGAUCAGGAGAUCACCACGCGCUAUUCACCUAGUAGACUAAAGCCCCGAACAGUCUACUAACGUGGAAUUCCAGUGUAAUUCUAAAUAUCAAUAUAAUUGAGAAUUUUAAGAUAUACAGAUGUAGACAAAAUCAUUCAACGGAAAUCUUGUUUGCUACAAUAUUAUUCGAUAAAAAGGUUCACUACACUGAAAAAAAAAA